UACGGGGGGAGCAAGCGUUGUUCGGAUUUACUGGGCGUAAAGGGCGCGUAGGCGGUAGCACAAGUCAGUUGUGAAAUCUCCGGGCUUAACUCGGAAAGGUCAACUGAUACUGUGCGACUAGAGUGCAGAAGGGGCAACUGGAAUUCCUGGUGUAGCGGUGAAAUGCGCAGAUAUCAGGAGGAACACCGGUGGCGAAGGCGGAUCUCUGGGCCUUACCUGACGCUCAGGUGCGAAAGCUAGGGGAGCGAACAGG
rnacentral:rRNA from 1 species